CCAGCCAUGCCGCGUGAGUGAAGAAGGCCUUCGGGUUGUAAAGCUCUUUCGGCCGGGAAGAAAUCGCAUGGGUUAAUACCCUGUGCGGAUGACGGUACCGGCAUAAGAAGCACCGGCUAACUACGUGCCAGCAGCCGCGGUAAUACGUAGGGUGCGAGCGUUAAUCGGAAUUACUGGGCGUAAAGCGUGCGCAGGCGGUUUUGUAAGACAGGCGUGAAAUCCCCGGGCUCAACCUGGGAACUGCGCUUGUGACUGCAAGGCUAGAGUACGGCAGAGGGGGGUGGAAUUCCACGUGUAGCAGUGAAAUGCGUAGAGAUGUGGAGGAACACCAAUGGCGAAGGCAGCCCCCUGGGUCGAUACUGACGCUCAUGCACGAAAGCGUGGGUAGCAAACAGGAUUAGAUACCCUGGUAGUCCACGCCCUAAACGAUGUCAACUAGGUGUUGGGUGGGUAAAACCAUUUA
rnacentral:rRNA from 1 species